rnacentral:tRNA from 1 species
GGGCCAGUAGCUCAGUGGUAGAGUUCCCGUCUCGAAUGCAGGAAGACUUGAGUUCGAUUCCCGGCUGCUUUC